GGAGGAGCGCUUCCUGUCCUUGAGCAGCUGCUACUAUAGAGAUACAGACGCUGUCCUCCUGGUGUACAGCCUCCCGCGCCUGGUUUCCUUCGACAGUCUCUCCCAUUGGCUCUGCGUGGCCAGGCAGUACUGUGCGGAUGCUGAUGUUUUCAUUCUGGGUAACAAGAGUGACCUGGAGAGCUGUGUCCCCGAGGAGAAGGUGGAGAGGUUCACGGCCGAGCACGCCAUCGCUGGGAGGUACAAAGUGUCCGCAAAGACAGGCGAGAACGUGGAGCGAUGCCUGCAGGAGAUGCUGGAGCAUCUUUUCCUGCAGAAGGAGUUCCAGCGCAGUGGCCUCCACACACCCCUGCAAGAAGUUGGCUACUACAGCCACUGUGCUUGCUGAGAGGGGUGUGGGGCCCUUCCUUGAAGGAAAGGAGCCCCCACAAAACANAGAGCAAGCUUUUCCGUGGGCGGCCAAGGCCUUGCAGUCUUUCCGGGUGCCGUAUGUGCAAAGUGGAGAUGAGCAGCAUGAGGAAAGAUCCCAGCUGCCUGAAGGGCCCUGCAGUGCCCAGGUGCCCUUGGAGAUCCUGCUGGGACUUUCUUACUUCACUUUCUANCAAGUGCCAUUGUGCGGACAGCUGGGGGCCAUUUCUGGCAGGAUGCCAAAGGGUUAGAUAAUUCAUGGAGCACAGGUGUAUCAACUAGAGGGGAUGCCUAAGUACUUCCUCCAGCAUGCAGAAAGAUGUAGGAUGCCUUUGUCUUCGGCUUGGGGUGCCCAGAAGCAACUGUUGGGCCACUGUAUGAGGCAGGAUGCUGGGCUAGAUGGCCUGUGGCCUGAUCCAGCAGGGCUCCUCUUAAUUCAUGGAGGGUAGGUGCGUCAAUGGCUACUAGAAUGGAUGCCUAGGUACUGCCUCCAGGUUCAAGAGACAGAUAGGAUGCCUCUAAAGGCCGUUUGCAGGGAGACGAGAGCAGGUGAAGGUUUUGCCUUUGUCUUCCUCUCGAGAUGCCCAGAAGCCAGUGGUGGGCCACUGUGUGAAACAGGAUGCUGGACCAAAAGGCUGUGGCCUGAUCCAGCAGGGCUCCCCUUAUGUCCUUAUGAACACUAUCAGACCCCAAUUACGC
rnacentral:lncRNA from 1 species